rnacentral:rRNA from 1 species
GAUGAACGCUGGCGGCGUGCCUAAUACAUGCAAGUCGAGCGAACAGACGAGGCGCUUGCUCCUCUGACGUUAGCGGCGGACGGGUGAGUAACACGUGGAUAACCUACCUAUAAGACUGGGAUAACUUCGGGAAACCGGAGCUAAUACCGGAUAAUAUAUUGAACCGCAUGGUUCAAUAGUGAAAGACGGUUUUGCGGUCACUACUAGAUGGAUCCGCGCUGCAUUAGCUAGUGGGGAAGGUAACGGCUUACCAAGGGAACUAUGCGUAGCCGACCUGAGAGGGGGGUCGCCCACACUGGAACGGGAACGCGGUCCAGGCUCCUACGGGAGGCAGCAGUAGGGAAUCUUCCGCAGUGGGCGAAAGCCUGACGGGGUAACGCCGCGUGAGUGAUAAAGGUCUUCGGAUCGUAAAACUCUGUUAUUGGGGAAGAACAAAUGUGGAAGUAACUAUGCACGUCUUGACGGUACCUAAUCAGAAAGCCACGGCUAACUACGUG